rnacentral:lncRNA from 1 species
AAAAUGUAAAGCGCACGCAUACCCUGUAACUUGAUAGAGGAAUGCAGUUCACUUAGAAUGUAACAUGUGCUGUUUAGUGACAAAAGGCGACCCCUGCAAUUUGGGUACCAUUCAGUGUCUUGCCGGACAAACAAAUUUAUUCCUCCUUACACGUCAUCCUCAGUGACCACUAUUUUUCCUUGGAGUGGCCUAAAACUGAUUCUGCAAUUUCAAGAGAGCCAGUAAGAUCUGGUGCCACUAGAAUAUGGGACAUUAGUAACUAUACUAUUUUCUUCUAAUAAAAGCACAUGAUGAAUCUGAUAACUGGUCAUUUAUUUCCGUACAUACUCCAUCCGUCCGGAAUUAUUUGUCAUCAAAAUGAAUGAAAUUGGAUGUAUCUAGAACUAAAAUACAUCUAGAUACAUCCAUUUUAAUGACAAGUAUUUCCGGACGGAGGGAGUAUAUAUUUAAAGAAGCAAGGUAUCACGGAAUUGUGAAAAAUCUGGCCACAUCCUAUAUAAAGACUGAUCAGUAACAAACCUUGAGCUGCAGAGAUAACAAAUUAAUGCCAAGGACAUCAUAACCGCUGG